rnacentral:ncRNA from 1 species
AACGGUUUUGGUCCUAAACUUGCCGUUGUUUUUAACUAAUAUUAUACAUGCAAGCCUCCACAAACCUGUGAAAAUGCCCAAUAUCUCCACACCAAAGAUUAAUGGAGCCGGUAUCAGGCACGCCAACAUGCAGCCAAAGACACCUUGCACUAAACCACACCCCCACGGGCACGCAGCAGUAAUUAACCUUAAGUUAUAAACGAAAGUUUGACUUAGAUAUAGAUCACCGAGCCGGUAAAUUUCGUGCCAGCCACCGCGGUUAUACGAAAGGCUCAAAACAACCCCCACCGGCGUAAAGCGUAAUCAAAAGACAAGUGACAAACCUAAGGAAAAACUUUUUCUCAGCCGUAAAACGCCUAAGAAAAUUAGAACCCCACACCAUCCUUAACCCGUUCUGAAUUACGAAAGCUAUGAUACAAACUGGGAUUAGAUACCCCACUAUGCCUAGCCGUAAACCUAAAUAGACAAUAUACCAACUAUUCGCCAGAAUACUACAAGCAAAACGCUUGAAACUCAAAGGACUUGGUGGUGUCCCAUAUCAUCCUAGAGGAGCCUGUCCUAUAAUCGAUAUUCCACGCUAAACCUUACCAUCUUUGGCCACUCCAGCCUAUAUACCGCCGUCGCCAGCCUACCCCAUGAGGGCCUUAUAGUAGGCAAAACUGUUCUCACACAAAAACGUCAGGUCAAGGUGUAGCUUAUAAGAUGGAAGAGAUGGGCUACAUUUUCUAAGCUAGAAAACACGAAUAAUGUAAUGAAACCACACAUUAGAAGGAGGAUUUAGUAGUAAAAUUAAAAGAAAAAUCAUUUUAAACACGCUCUGGGACGCGCACACACCGCCCGUCACCCUCAUCAACUCAACUACACCAAUCAACAUAUAACCAAACCUGACUACAAGAUGA